rnacentral:rRNA from 1 species
UUUAUCGGAGAGUUUGAUCCUGGCUCAGGACGAACGCUGGCGGCGUGCCUAAUACAUGCAAGUCGAGCGGACAGAUGGGAGCUUGCUCCCUGAUGUUAGCGGCGGACGGGUGAGUAACACGUGGGUAACCUGCCUGUAAGACUGGGAUAACUCCG